GCUAAGUCCGUGGCAGGGGUGGCGGUAAUACGGGUGGUUGAAGGGUUAUUCGGGUGUAUUGGGUGUAAAGGGGUCGUAGGCGGACUUAUAAGUCAGUGGUGAAAGCCGGUCGCUUAACGAUAGAACUGCCAUUGAUACUGUAAGUCUUGAGUAUAAGUGAGGUAGCUGGAAUAAGUAGUGUAGCGGUGAAAUGCAUAGAUAUUACUUAGAACACCAAUUGCGAAGGCAGGUUACCAAGUUAUAACUGACGCUGAGGGACGAAAGCGUGGGGAGCGAACAGGAUUAGAUACCCGAGUAGUC
rnacentral:rRNA from 1 species